GCCUUUGGGGAGGGAGUGGCUGGAAUCAGAGCUUAGAUGAAAAGAAGACGAAUUUGUCUUGGGCUAGGUCCUUGGAUGAAGCAGGCAGGAUUCAGGGUCAGACAAGACUUGCCUGUAGCUAAGGGGAUGGACUUGGAUAUAGAGCAUUCCCAGGCGGACUGCUGUGUGUCCGGGGUAUACCCAGGAAGGAGCUGGGAAGCAGCCAGAGGGGAAGAGAACUAUUGCUGUCACUGCUGGGGCUGCUGGGGGCACAGAGACAGGGCCCAGCCUGUCCCCUGAGCAGCCUGAAAGCCAGGGGAUUCUAGCAUUUUCCAUUUCUUUGAGAAGUUGUUAGUCAAAUCUGUCAUCGACAGCAUCUGAGAAAUGGGACCUUUCCUCCAAAGUCUCUGAUAGACUUGUGGACGCGGCAUUCAUUGUCCACGAGUCAGGAUCCCCGGUUCUCAUCCUGGUUCUGCCGACAGAACCAGUUUUAGCUAGCUGCGGGAAUGAAGAGAAGUCAUUUAACCUCUCUGGACCUCAGCUUUCUCAUUUGUAAAGGGGGGGGGGAGCGGGGAGGGCUGAUGCGACAAACUAGAAAUACCGCUGCUACUGGUGUCCUAUGAUCUUCUAAGACCUGAGGAGCAUUGACAGCCUCAGCCGUGUCCCCCUCCCCUUACUGCUGUGCUCUGAAGCCUCCCGCCUGAGCAGCACAGAUGCAACUCCAAAGAGGCUCGCUUUCUGCUCUCUCUCCCUCUUCCCCUCCCCCCUCACACACACACACACACACACACACACACACACACACACACACCCUCCUUGCCCCAUGUACUGUGCAUCCCUGGACUCCCAAUCAUCCAUAAAAUUUGCUGUGGUUGGGAAGGAGCCUGGGGCCAGGGCACCCCAACAGAAAAGCUGACUCUGUGUAUUUCUGUUAACAGAAAAAAAGAAGAAAAGCCUAGCAGAGCUGGAGAGCGGGGCACCAAGGCACAAAGUUAGCACUGGUAAGGACUUGCCAAAUGGGGAGAGGGAGCAUUGGGAACGGAAGAGAGCCAGGAAAGGUGAAGAGAGAGAAAGAGAAGGCGCAGCUCAGCUGCAGGGGACUCCAGUGGAGAGUGAGGAGUGAAACGCGCUGACAGCCUUGUCAGGAAAUCACCUCGAAGCAUCCCACACCCUGGUCUGUCAGUUCCAUCUCCCCAGGGGAGGAGCCCCUCUUGAAACCGACAUUUCCAAGCAAGUGCCAGUGGAUGCUUCCAAGAUGGUGAUCAGGCUAUUUCCAGGGCUGGAGUCCUCAGGGACCUCUUUUCAUGUUUGGCCAUUUCUGGUUGGCUCUCAUCCAGCUGCUGCCUGCCUGCUGCACUCCAGGCCAACUGGGAGCAGCAUUCUACAGGAUCAAGGAUCACAGGAACACCCAAUCCUUGGGUAAGAGUAAGGGUGGCAACAUAGAGCCCAUUGUAUGCAUAUGUGGUAUUGUUAGAGUCAGCCUUCAAAUGCUUCAAGCCACAUCCUGGGGGAACUAUUCUAGGGAAACUAAGGGAAACUUAGUCAGAACUCCCUCUUCCUCCCCCACCACGUUAACCCCUACCCACCUGAGUCUUUAUGAUAAGCCUCCAGACCUCUUCACCAAAUCUAAGGGCACCUGCAGCCUUUCCACUCCCUUCCCUGGCAUCCCCUCCCUUCACUCAGAUGUUGCCAAAUGGAUGGUGAGCCUGGAUAGAUCCUGGUGGCCAAAUUCCAAACAAAGGGGGAGGCAUCCUGGCCCCCCGCCAGUGUUCCGUCCAUGGUAAUUUGGCAGGAAAGCGCCAGCUGCGUAUAUCUGCACAUCUGUUUAUGCCUCUGGCUUGUUAUUUAUUCUCUGCCUUUCAUGGGCAGCAAAGCCAGAGCGCACCUCAACUCUUCCCAAGUUAGAUUAACCAGGAAAGAAGGCUGGGACACUCAGUCACUACAAUUGCUGAUGUUCAUUGAAGGGUAUGCCUUCUCUAGCAGCUGCUGCCACUUUUCAAAGAGACGCAGAGGAGAGGCAUGAAAGGGAAGGGAGGAGGCGGGAAAGGGUGGGAGGAGAGGGAAGGAGAGAUGAGGGAGGGCUGUGGAGUUAGAGUUUGUAGUUAUGUUGGGAGUUCUUGAGGCAGAUGGGCCGAUCCCUGACCCCACUGGAGAUGGGGAGAGCUGGCCAGCCAGUCUGAAACACAAUCACUCUGACCUUCCUUCCUGCUAGAUACCAUGUUUCAGCGUGUGUGUGUGUGUGUGUGUGUGCGUGUGCGUGUUGUGUGUGUGUGUGUUCUUGUAUGCUGUGGGUGAGCAACAAUCCUGGGGAUAAGGCUUUUUAACAGAGGUUACAUAAGACAGGCUUCUUGGGGUGCUUAAAUAACUUUUCUUGAGGAAUUCCUGGGAUGAAGUAUGUGGUGAAGAACCAGGGCCAAGCUCUGUCCCUGGGAUUAAGAAGGAGAAGGAGCGAGGAGAGAGAGGAGAAGGAGGGAGAGAGGGAGGGUUAAAAGGAAGGGCAGGAGGAGGAAAAGGAAGGAGUGUUAAAGAGUAGAGAAACAUGUUCAGCAGGGAAGAAAGAGGGAUGGGUGGAGGGGUCUGGAAGUUUGGAGAUCCUUGGCAUAGGUGCUAUCCUUGGUCCUGACUGACAAAGGUCCCAGGAAUAUCCCAGAGUCCCUGUCUUGGAUGGUCCUCCCAACUCCCUACAAUAUCCUUUGAAAGGGACUGAAGGAUUUUUAGAGUAGGAACAAAGCUCUGAAGCUCAUCUGGUGAGAACUGAAUGCACAGAUCUGACCCCUCCCACUCUUGCUCCAUCUCCCUCUCCUGCCUUUUUCAAAGCAACCCCCUGUCCAGUCAAUGCUCCUUGCAGGGGACAGAUAGGUGUGGGCCCAGAGAACCCUGGGUAGGGCUCCUGGUUAAGAGUGCAGGCAUCUGAGCCCUGGGGACCCUUGGCCUGAGUGGAGGAAAGUGGGGGUACCCUAGUGUGGGGAGCGCCGGCCUGGUCAGACUUAAAGCAACUAAACCCCACCAAAUUCUGGACAGACAUUUUGCUUCUACUUUCCCUCACCUCCUUUGCAAAACCCAAAUACCAACAUCAUUUUUACCCUCCUUCAAAAAAUUAUAUGUAACGAGCUGUUCACAGGCAGUACUUGCACAGAUGGGGGUUUAAUCAGCUGGAGUCUAAGCACACGGGCAUUCCAGCCUAAUCCAAUUCCCAUCCGUUCAUUAGGGGAAAUAUUCAUCACCCAGAGAUUACAGCAGGGCCAAAGCUCUGAAUGGAUUCUAAAGAGCUGUCACUGGAGCAGUAACCGCACCCACCAAGACAGAAGGCCAGAUUGUGCAGAGGGGGCCUGGCAGCCCCUGGCCAUGCCCCGGGACCCCUGGUCCUAUGAGGCUACUUCAUAGUUUUGGCUUUUGUUUUUGCUUUGAGAAUCACUGUUUACAGGCCUGGGGGCCAGGCACCAAGGGGGAAGAUAGGGAAAUAUCAACUGCCUUUGGGAGUCCCUGUUUAGAGGGGAGACACAUCAUCCCUUGCUUGUAGGGAACCCCCAGUCUAAUGGGGAGAGAAAUGGCCCCCACUUGCUAGCCUGCUCUCCGAAGAGUGCUAACUUAUAAGUGACAGACAUCUUUGUCCUAAAAUCUCUAGCAAGAAGCAAGAAAUUACCUCCUCGUGAAGGCAGAGGUAAGAGCAUGACUCCUCCCAGUCCCUACAGCAAAUCAGCGGCAGAAGUUGGGCACAGAAGGCAAGCUGCAGACUCCAGACUAAGGAACACCAUUACUUCCCUUCUACCAUGGGGGGAACUGGGCCAGGGGAAGCCAGGGAGAAGGGCAAGGGACAUCUCCAAGGUUGGCCUCUCCCAAAUAGAGGAGACUCUCAUUGGUGUCAAGUGACUUUCGCCUUCUGGCAUUGAGAAUCUUGACUAUUUCCCUGUGGUCCCUGCCCACAUCCCCACUUGAAGUUCGGAAAACCUAUUUGUUGAUCUCCACCGGCUUCCCUGGUGCCACUCUAUGUCUGCCAUUUUUCUCUUAUCCUCCCUGGUAGUGUUGGUGGGUGUGUUGCCUCAGGUGGCACAAACUCAUCCCAGAGUGUGUCUGACCCAAGGGCAAGGCAUUCGAGGGCUAGACUGUGGCCUCAAAGUCUGUAGCGCUUCCUGCCACCUUCAAUCCUAGACAGUCCUAUGGGCUGAGGAGAACUGUCACCUGCAUCCCCUGUCUCCUCUGCCCUCUGCUCACCUGGCCCAGGACAAAAGUAGGGGAGGGAGAGAAUGGAGCAUGUGGCCCACCUUCCCCUAGGGGUGAGGGAGAACUUUCUGGACCAAGCACACUGAAAUGGAGACCUGAAGGGUAAGGGGGAAAUGCCCAAGUGUGGGGCAGGAUGGGGACUGUCACCCUUAUUGGCCCCUUCUGCUCCUCACACCUCUUUUCUCCCAGACUUGUGGGACCGCUUCUUGGCUCAGGGCCCUUCAGUCCAGUCUCCGCAAGAGGUCCUCCUCCACUAGCCACACCCUGCCCAGCAUCCAGCUUCCCCAGAGACUUCCCAACUCUGGGAUUACACCGGGACACUUUCCCCCAGGGAUUCAGUUGAAAGACUGAGGACCCAGAGGAGAAGGAUCCAGAGAGGGUGGGAUCUGGGUAUUCCUCAAAGGGAGCACCUGGUGGCAAGAAGGCACGUGGUGCUGCUGCUCCCAGGGCCACGACCUCAGGUGGGGAUCAGAGACCUGGGGCAGAGGGAGCUGACAGAGGGGACGAGAUCCAGAUAAGAAAUGAACAAGCAGGCGAACCACAGGGAUACCUGAGAGUUCUGGGGUGUGGGGAUCCGUAAAUACCCUCUCAUUCCAGCACAGAUGUAACCUACCUGGGACAUGGGACCUGGAGCCACAUCCUGCUGCUGAAUGGGAAGUGGCAAUACGGUCAGGGGCCUGGCUUCAAACUCUGUUUUCACCCUUCCUAGCCAUGGCAUCUUUGGUCAGCCACUGCUGUGUAUCUGACUCUUGUUUCUUUAUCUGUAAAAGUUAGGCUGAGAACCCAGGACAGAGAUUUAUUACAAGGAAUUGGCUGAUGUGAUUGUGGGGGUUGGCAUCCUGAGUGGCAUCCUGGGUUCUUGAUGCUCUGACUCCUUCUAAGGGGGUGGGCCUGAGUGGGGCGGAGCGUGCGUUAUCAUAAUAUAUGCAUAUUUUAUAUGCAGGAGAUCUAUUUCAAGGAAUUGGUUUAUGCAACUGUGGAGGUUGGCUAGGCAAGUACAAAAUCUGUAGGUCAUGCAAUCAGGAAGGAAAGAGAAUAGCUCAGGAACAAGUUGGACCCCGGGGCAAUGGUAAGGCCAUUGUCCACAGCCCAUCAGGAAGAGGAGUCUAGCAAGGGGAGGGCGGCCGGAGUGUCCUUCAUCAGGAAGUGUGUCUCUUUCAAGGGCUUGCCUGCUUAGGCCAGGCUCACAGGGGAUACUCUCCCUAAAGUUGACUAAUUAGGGACUUUAAUUACAUCUUUCAAAUCCCUUUGCAGCAGGCCCUAGAUCAGUGUUUGCUUCAAUAACAGGGAGAGGGUGUGUGUUUGCUACAAAGUGGCGGCCGCCCUCUCUCCCGUUCUCGGAGAGAGUGUAGCCUGGUUGACCGGUCAAAGGAAAUCACACGGCAAAAAUGAUUUUUAUGAAGAUUGACUAUUAGAUACUCUUUGGGACAGUUUCCUGACAGCUGGGACUCGCUCGGGAAUUUACGCACCAAGGAGCUGAGGCUCUGCUUCUCUUAACAGAGGGGACCUGAAGAGGUUCCGGCCAUAGUUGUCUUUGGUCAGAAGCGAGGGUGUCUCUGUGGGGCUCCUGAGGUGUGUGGAUAUGGCACAUCAUGGGGAGGACCUCAAGAUCAACCAGUGCUCCGGAGAUGCCCUGCCCUGGCAGUUGGGGCCACCGCAGCCAGAGCUGCGGCAGCAGAUGACCGUCCCGGCCCUUGGUGACCGGUGGGGCUGCAGCAGGUAAUUACCGGGCAGAGGCUGCGAACUGACAGGGUAAUUAUUAGCUUCUAAUUGCAGGGCAAACCCAGGCCGAGAUCCUUCUCUCCAAAGCAGAGGGCAUUACUAUUUGCAUAGCAAUUAAUUACUUUGGGAGCUGCGGAAUUUAAUUACCCACUCGUCCGCAGGAGCCAAUAAUUAAAUUACUCUCAGAAACAGGGUAUUUAUUUCCCAGUUAGGCUGAGCAGGUAGCUCCUACCUUGGGGAGUGAGCCUGGGUGGUGACCCCUGAACCAAUGGUUGGCCCCCCGGCCUGAGCACUCAGAGUGGCAACCUCAGUGCCGCAGGAGGGAGUGUCCGCCCCGUGAUGCAGACGGACGCUCGACACACACAGAUGCAGGCCCUCGUGGAGCACGCUGAGACCCAGGGGCUGGCUCUCACACACGUGGUCGCCGGUGGAGGCGGGGACGCGCGCGCGCACCCACAGCAUCAUGUAAACCAUGCACGUAGCAAGAAGGGCAAAAAGACCAAACAGGGCACUUUUGCUCUGUCAUUUGGCCACAGCUGCUUGGCCUAACUUGUGUCAAAAUGUCAAAAUGUAUUUUUAGUACCAUGUACUGUGGCCAACAGACUGAUUCUGAGUCCAUCUAGUCCUUCUAGAAUCUCUUUUCAUCCCCGAUUCCUCUCAGGGCUGUGUCGGGGUUGGGAGGGGCUUAGGGCAGCGUGGGGCUUAGGGAAGGAUAGAAGAACAUCACUUGAUAAUAAUUUAAAAAAUCAAGAGUUUAAUGUUCCUGCAUCAAAAUGUCCGUGUCAAGAUGUCAUAUACUCUUGAGAGAUGGGGGCCUCUGGAGUCUUCCAAAUAGAGUGGCCCUUGGGAGCAGGGCUGUGUUAGGUUCAGUCCUUACUUCUCCCUCUUCAUACAAGGCAAGGUGGGGCUGGGGUCAUGGAGGUAAGAAGGAGCUGAGGGGAGGGGAAAGCCACCAAGGGUGUGUCUGGAUCAGCUCACCCGCUGACUGGGACAGCCUGUCCCCCAGGCCUGAGAAAGCCUAGAGGUCGGGUGGCAUCAUUCCUCUUUCCCCAUGGCUGUCCCCCAAGUCCACCUGCCCUGUUCUCCACCUCGCUGCCUGGGCAGUCAGUAGCUGCCAGCUAGUUGAGGCAAGGCUUUUGCAGAGUGUGGGGUGACGUGUCUGGCUCCGGUGCUGGGGAUCCCAGCGGUAGGGCCGCCUGCUGCUGGUGAUGAGACGCCCAGUCCUCUGGGCCAGCGGACCUGGGGUCUUUGUGCGCCACCACCCUCAGAGGAAGGAUGGAAGAGAUCCGGCUCGCCUCCCUCGCUCUUCACUCUGGGAAGGGUCUCAGGCGAAUCAAGUGGGUGCCGGUUAUUCUGGCCUUUUAGAUUCCCCCUCCCUUUCCCCCAGGUGACAUUAUUGAGCCCCUGCUGUGUGCAGGUCCAGAGCCAGGCCACCUCCCUGCCCUGCCGCCUUUGGUUGCGUUCCCAACUGACAUUGGCGCCCAACCCUGACCUCUUGCACCCCUCCUCCCAAAGCCUAGAGCUGAGCCCUGCUCCGACCCCCUCCAGCUUGGCCUCAGGGCCUCCCGGGGUGGGAUCCUAUAGGCGCUUCUAAUACAGUUCUCCCUGACUCUGCUCAGGGCACCCACCACCAAGGAAGAGCCAGGGCCGGCCCUCAGCCCAGGCUGCUGACAGCAGCGAUUCAUCUCCAUCACAGUAAUGGCGUCCCCAUUAAUCGGCCAUAAACUAAUAAAGCAAGCACUUUCCACCCCACACCCCCCCCCCAACUUCAUUAAGUCUUUAGUACAUUAAUAUGUCUUACUUAGUGUCAGCUAAGCCUCUUUCUCCGUUUGGGGUGGAGCACGGUGGGAUGGGCGCCUUGCCCGGUGGGCGGGUGACCAUGACCCCUCCCGUGGCCUGGGCAGAGGGUCUGCUGACUCAGGGCCACCCACCCCCCUCUCCCUCCUCCUCCGCCCACCGCCCGCUGAGAGGCCCUAGAGGCCCAGGGAAGCAGGAGCAGGAGGAACAGGAAGAAGUGGGGAGAAGCAGAGGUGUAGGGAGGAAAGAGGAGGAGGGAGGGACUGAGGAGGAAGGGGGCUGGCAGGAAAGGAGACGGGAUGGGGGAGGAGCCGUGCACCUCCAAAUUAAAUUUGUGAUUCAGGCAUCAGAUGGGCCGACAGCCAGAGAUUAAUUCGACUGAUCGAGUUAUAAAGAGCGGGAGGCCUGGGUAAUCAAUCUUGCAGCUGUCAGGCCGACAGGCAGGAGUAUUAACCUGGCGAGACGGCACAUACCGAGGACUUCUUCAUUUCAUUCACCCCAACCACGUCCCUGACCACCUCUGGCCUGUCUCUCCAAAUAAUAAUAAUUGUGGCUGUUAACGAUGACAGAGACAGGCUCUUCUGCCAGGGCCUUCUCUCCGGGAACUCCCGCCCGCCGCUCAGUGUGACCAGAAGGCAGAGCAAGUAACAGCCGGUGGCCCUCCUUGAGAGGUGGGGAAAUCGAGGCAGGGACUCCAACAAGACCUUCAGACGGGCCAGAGGUGGGGUUGGGAAGGCACUUGGAGAUAAGGACACUGUCCUAGAUCCCUCUUGCUUCCCAGGGAAGGAGCUGUCCCCCAAUGAGGGGGCACAAACCCGUGGCACUUUCAGCUCUGGCUGAGGAAGCUGGGCUCCAACUGUCUCCUCCUCUGGCCUCUGCCCACCCUGAGCACAGCUCUGAGUGCUGAGUGGGCUGCUUGGAGGCCCCGCCCCGGCCUUGGGCUGGGGCCCUGUUCUUGCUGGCAAGCCACCUUUCCUGCUCCCUCUCCUCGCCCGACAGUGUCAGUCCGCACCUGGGGUGGGGUGGGGGUCUCCCUGCAGAGACUUGUGGAAACACCAUCCCUUGGGCAGAGAAGGGGUGUGUGUGGGGGGGAUACUGCCUUGAAGUUGAUGCCUCUCUCAGUUCCGGCUAAUUUUCACAUCCUUCAAACUCUGAUAUCUCUUUCUUCCUUGCUCCGGGGAAAGGAAGGGGGAAGAAGGCACAGUGUGUGUGUGUGUGUGUGUGUGUGUGUGUGUGUAGUUUUGGGGGGCCGUGUAUAAAGAUGUGAUGCGGGCAUGUAAAAAGAUACCUUUAGGGUAUGAGGGAAGUGAGCCAGGACUGAGUCAGCCCUCUGAAAUCCUCAGGCCAGGGUGCACUGUAAGUAGUGGAGGCCUUGGACGGUCAAGGUGAGGAGACAGGAGUCCUCUCCUCCUUUCUUAGUAAGAACCAGGCAUAGUUACUUGAGGGGCCAUGGUCCCUCUAGUGCUCUAACAACGUUAUCUAUUAUUAUGUUGUGAUUAUUAUUGCCAAUCUAGGGACCACCCACCCUGCAGACAACAAUACAAUUCUCAUUUAUUGUGUUCUAAGUAUUUCUAGAUUCUCGCUAAGCGUUUUAUAUAUGUUACAACUUUAAUGUUCACAAAAAGCUCUACAGAGUAGGUUCAAUUUUCAGUCGCAUUUUACAGAAGAACACUUGAGGUUCAGAAGGGUUUGGGUACUUGCUUAAGCUGGCGUUGCCAGGAAAUGGUAAAGCCAACAGUUGCCCUGCCCAGCGCCUCAGUACAGGCUGACUUUGCCCAAGGCCCCCAAAUUCACUUGCACUCCACCGUGGCCCCUCCGCAGCAUCCCCUAUUGGCUGAUUCUGGAUAUCUCCAGCUGAGGUUCCCUGGGCACCGGAUCCCUCUGGGUGUGAGGAGGGUGGGGAGGGUGGUGCUGUUUGUUCAGAGGGUGGGGUGGGGGGGGUGCUGGGUGUCAGAGAACACUCAUCCAGGGCAAAGAGAAGAAUAGGGCCCCGCCCUGGGAGGCUACUCAGUGCCCUAGAGUAACCCCAGGGAGUAGGAUUGCCCCCUCCCCAGGCCCCAUGGCCUUUUGGGAAAGGAGAGGGUGCUGACUUACCCACAUCCCCCCCCUCCCCAGGGAUGGAACAAUUGGAGGGAUGCCAUGCUGGGUGUGUGUGGCAGGGAGGGAUCCUGACUUGGAUGGAUCUAGAGAGAAAGCUCUCGCUCUCUUGCCUGACCCCAGCUGGGGCUGGGUCGGGGUUGGGGUGGGGGAGUGGGUCUGACUGGGGAGGCAGCCAGGCCAGCCCCUCUCCCAGGCUCCCUGGGACCCAUUUCAAGUGGCUGCUUCCAGGCUGCGCCAGCCAGAGGGAGGGGGAGCGGGAACAGGGAGACUGCUUCCAAGCAAAGGUUCAAGGGUCUCCCUUCCUGAGCCCCUGCCCCCUUGCUCAGGGCAGCCAUUGAUUCCACGCUGUCAGUCUCAGCGUCUACUCCUUAUUCUUUAUCCGGGGCCAAGCGAAGGAGAGUACGUGCCACCCCCAGCCCAUCUGGAGGUCGUUCUUGUACUUCGGGUGGGGAUGGACGAGGUCCCCUGGCAUAGACCCUCAGGGACCAGAAUCCCCAAGUCUGAAGGCUUUGAUCAUGGGAGUAGCUGGGGAUUUAACCUGUUGCGGCUACCCUCACACACUCCUGUCCCCUCCCACCUUCUCCUUCAUGCCAGAUCCUGCAUUGAGGCCUGGGCUUUAACAGUUCAGGGGCCUCUUGUGACAGUAGUGUUGGGGGGCAGGGGCAGCGUUCUCUGGUUUCUAGCUUUCUCGCCCCAUCAAGGCGGGAGUAGAAUGAGACCCAUUCUCAUUCCCAAGACAGUAGAAUGAGCUGUCUUGUCAUGAGCACCAUGAUGGCCCCUCGAAUCUUCUCUAUGCCUUAGCUCCCCAUCUAGGUAAUAGGGAACUGCUUCCAUGAUCUCUCCCUCUUCUGCCUUAGGAGGGGGAAAGGUGGGUUGUUGGGGAAGGAGAGAGGAGAGAUCUUUUAAGGCAAAUCAUGUAGAACAUCUCUUUCAAAACCUGGCUGUCUCUCAAAGCCUCAGUUUCUUCAUCUGUAAAAUGGGAGAAGUAAUGCCUACUUCCGUGGCUUGUGGUGGUGCUCAAGUGAGAUGGCAGAGGGGGUCUCUCACUGUGUCUGGCACAUUGUGGGUGCUGAAUAAAUAUCAAAACCAUCAGCCAGAGCAGGGCAAGAGCUAGGGGUGUGGUGGAGGUGUGGACUUUAGGGGAGAAUGACUCUUUCUCGCCCUCUGCCUUCCUUACCUCCUGGCUCCUGAUCCCUUACCCGGUGACAAGCCCAGGCAGAGGCCUUAGACUUGGACACCCCACUCUGAAGAGCUCUUGGACAAGGCUGGGAGAAUGUCUGUGUGCCGGACAGGGAUGUACUCGAGGACUGGGUGUGAUUCCACAUCCCUGUUUCAAGAAUGGAAUUGUUUGGACAUCAGCCAGGUGGUAUAUGUGAGUGUGUGUGUCAGUGCACGUGUGUGUGUGUGUGUGUGUGUGUGUGUGUGUGUGUGUCUAGGCUCAAUGGCUGGCAUCAAAAUACUUGCUGAUUAAUCUCUGUCUUCUCGUACCCAGCCCUGGUCCCCUAGAAGCUCCAGGCCUUCAUUGGUGUCCAAUGGGCCUGAGGGGGCAGAAUCAGGCCCAGGAAGAUGGAUUUUCCCGGUCCCCUCAGCCCCAACCCAGCAGGGGAGGGAGAAGACUGCUUCAUUAUGUUUAAUGGGAUUAUUGGGGGGGAUAGUAGUCAUGGGGCAUUAGCUGCUAAUUGGGUCCAUAAUAAAGUUAAUAAAGCUCUUAUGGUCUUUGCCAUUAACUGUAAUUAAGGGGGUGCUCUGUG